CUCAGCUUCUUCUCAUAAGUCAUGUGCUCCAGCCCCCUAAUCAUUUUUGUAAUUGUAUGUCUCCAACUCUGUUUUACCCACAUGCUGCCAUAUAUAUCAUGUCAUAGCUGUCUUGGAUGAUGGCGCAGCACAUGUUGUUCAUUUUAAGAACACUUUCACUGCAGAGAAGGUACCAAUGUGAGCUUUCUAAAGAUA